AGAGUUUGAUCCUGGCUCAGGAUGAACGCUGGCGGCGUGCCUAACACAUGCAAGUCGAGCGAUCUUCUUCGGAAGAGAGCGGCGGACGGGUGAGUAACGCGUGGGUAACCUGCCCUGUACACACGGAUAACAUACCGAAAGGUAUGCUAAUACGGGAUAACAUACUUUUAUCGCAUGGUAGAAGUAUCAAAGCUCCGGCGGUACAGGAUGGACCCGCGUCUGAUUAGCUAGUUGGUAAGGUAACGGCUUACCAAGGCGACGAUCAGUAGCCGACCUGAGAGGGUGAUCGGCCACAUUGGAACUGAGACACGGUCCAAACUCCUACGGGAGGCAGCAGUGGGGAAUAUUGCACAAUGGGCGAAAGCCUGAUGCCAGCAACGCCGCGUGAGCGAUGAAGGCCUUCGGGUCGUAAAGCUCUGUCCUCAAGGAAGAUAAUGACGGUACUUGAGGAGGAAGCCCCGGCUAACUACGUGCCAGCCGCCGC
rnacentral:rRNA from 1 species